rnacentral:misc_RNA from 1 species
UUUCCGUAGGUGAACCUGCGGAAGGAUCAUUAUUGGAUUUUGAAACUUCAGGCUGCUGCUGGCUCUCCUCGGAGGGCAUGUGCACGCUUGUUGUCCAUUAUUUCUCCCACUGUGCACAAAUUGUAGACCUUUCAGUAGGCCUAUGUUGUUUUUCACAAUCUCUGAAUGUAAUAGAAUGGUUUUGAAUCUUGGGAAAUACAAUACAACUUUCAGCAACGGAUCUCUUGGCUCUCGCUCGAUGAAGAACGCAGC